AAAGGAAGAUGCAUUCUCUCAUUGGUUGGUGUGUUUUGCCUUGUCAACCAAUAGGAGAAUGCCAUUUACCUUUUUCUGACUAGCU
ensembl:miRNA